CAGAAAAAGACAGUGGUUAGAGUUGUUACAUAUUCAUUUUUACAAUUGAAACUAUAACUAUGAUCAUUGUUUGUGACAAAAAGGUUCUAGAAAGAGAAGUAAUGAAUGUGCUCAUCUGCUGAGUGGUUGAACAUCUGCUGAGUGGUUGAACAUCUGCUGAGUGGUUGAACAUCUGCUGAGUGGUUGAACAUCUGCUGAGUGGUUAAAUGUUUGUGUUUCGAUUGAGGUGGAUGGGAACCCAGACUAUGACAACCUGGACAUCAGUAUGUGUGUGUUUCAGUGAGGUGGAUGGGAACCCAGACUACGACAACCUGGACAUCAUGAGGUGGAUGGGAACCCAGACUACGACAACCUGGACAUCGUAAACCGAGAUGCAGAGGAAAAGUACUUUGAUGAGGAGGAGGAGGAAGAGGAUGAAUCAGAAGAGAAAGAGAUGUCUCAGUAGUUGUCAUGACAGCAGCUGUUUAUGGCAUGUAAAUAUGAAACUAACCCUUUUGUAAAAACUCAGUAGAUUUCAAAUCACUAUCAGCAUUCAUUUGGUUGUAUAAUUAUCAAUAAAUCAUGUUUGUUUAAGUUA
ensembl:lncRNA